GCGCCCAUGGCCUAAUGGAUAAGACGCUUGACUUCUAAUCAAGCGAUUGUGGGUUCGAGUCCCACUGGGUGUG
rnacentral:tRNA from 1 species